rnacentral:rRNA from 1 species
GCUUCUUAGAGGGAUAAGUGGUGUUCAGCCACAUGAAAAGGAGCAAUAACAGGUCUGUGAUGCCCUUAGAUGUCCGGGGCUGCACGCGCGCUACACUGGAGAAAUCAGUGUGCAUUUCCAUUGUCGAAAGACAUUGGUAAACCGGUCAAAAUUCUCCGUGAUCGGGAUCGGGAAUUGGAAUUAUUUCCCUUGAACGAGGAAUUCCCAGUAAGUGUGAGUCAUAAGCUCGCGCUGAUUACGUCCCUGCCCUUUGUACUGAGCG